rnacentral:rRNA from 1 species
UGGCUCAGAUUGAACGCUGGCGGCAGGCCUAACACAUGCAAGUCGAGCGGUAGCACAGAGAGCUUGCUCUCGGGUGACGAGCGGCGGACGGGUGAGUAAUGUCUGGGAAACUGCCUGAUGGAGGGGGAUAACUACUGGAAACGGUAGCUAAUACCGCAUAAUGUCGCAAGACCAAAGUGGGGGACCUUCGGGCCUCAUGCCAUCAGAUGUGCCCAGAUGGGAUUAGCUAGUAGGUGGGGUAACGGCUCACCUAGGCGACGAUCCCUAGCUGGUCUGAGAGGAUGACCAGCCACACUGGAACUGAGACACGGUCCAGACUCCUACGGGAGGCAGCAGUGGGGAAUAUUGCACAAUGGGCGCAAGCCUGAUGCAGCCAUGCCGCGUGUGUGAAGAAGGCCUUCGGGUUGUAAAGCACUUUCAGCGGGGAGGAAGGCGGUGAGGUUAAUAACCUCAUCGAUUGACGUUACCCGCAGAAGAAGCACCGGCUAACUCCGUGCCAGCAGCCGCGGUAAUACGGAGGGUGCAAGCGUUAAUCGGAAUUACUGGGCGUAAAGCGCACGCAGGCGGUCUGUCAAGUCGGAUGUGAAAUCCCCGGGCUCAACCUGGGAACUGCAUUCGAAACUGGCAGGCUAGAGUCUUGUAGAGGGGGGUAGAAUUCCAGGUGUAGCGGUGAAAUGCGUAGAGAUCUGGAGGAAUACCGGUGGCGAAGGCGGCCCCCUGGACAAAGACUGACGCUCAGGUGCGAAAGCGUGGGGAGCAAACAGGAUUAGAUACCCUGGUAGUCCACGCCGUAAACGAUGUCGAUUUGGAGGUUGUGCCCUUGAGGCGUGGCUUCCGGAGCUAACGCGUUAAAUCGACCGCCUGGGGAGUACGGCCGCAAGGUUAAAACUCAAAUGAAUUGACGGGGGCCCGCACAAGCGGUGGAGCAUGUGGUUUAAUUCGAUGCAACGCGAAGAACCUUACCUGGUCUUGACAUCCACAGAACUUUCCAGAGAUGGAUUGGUGCCUUCGGGAACUGUGAGACAGGUGCUGCAUGGCUGUCGUCAGCUCGUGUUGUGAAAUGUUGGGUUAAGUCCCGCAACGAGCGCAACCCUUAUCCUUUGUUGCCAGCGGUUCGGCCGGGAACUCAAAGGAGACUGCCAGUGAUAAACUGGAGGAAGGUGGGGAUGACGUCAAGUCAUCAUGGCCCUUACGACCAGGGCUACACACGUGCUACAAUGGCAUAUACAAAGAGAAGCGACCUCGCGAGAGCAAGCGGACCUCAUAAAGUAUGUCGUAGUCCGGAUUGGAGUCUGCAACUCGACUCCAUGAAGUCGGAAUCGCUAGUAAUCGUAGAUCAGAAUGCUACGGUGAAUACGUUCCCGGGCCUUGUACACACCGCCCGUCACACCAUGGGAGUGGGUUGCAAAAGAAGUAGGUAGCUUAACCUUCGGGA